ACGAGAAAUCUUUAGCUUGCUAAAGAGAGUAAAGUGGCGCACGGGUGAGUAACGCGUGAGUAAUCUGCCUCCGAAUCGGGGAUAACAUUGCGAAAGCGAUGCUAAUACCGGAUAAAUCUUAUUGGCUUAGGUGAAAAGAUCAAAGGUGGUCUCUUCAAGAAAGCUACCGUUCGGAGAUGAGCUUGCGUACCAUUAGCCGGUUGGUGGGGUAAUGGCCUACCAAGGCGACGAUGGUUAGCUGGUCUGAGAGGAUGAUCAGCCACACCGGAACUGGAACACGGUCCGGACUCCUACGGGAGGCAGCAGUGAGGAAUUUUGCGCAAUGGGGGCAACCCUGACGCAGCAACGCCGCGUGAGUGAAGAAGGCUUUAGGGUCGUAAAGCUCUGUCAGGUGGGAAGAAUCUGUUAUAGGCCAAUAACUUAUGGCAUUGACGGUACCACCGAAGGAAGCACCGGCUAACUCCGUG
rnacentral:rRNA from 1 species